ensembl:misc_RNA Y_RNA Y RNA
GGCUGGUACAAAGAAGUGAUUUAUCUCAACUGAUGGGUCACAGUCAGUUACAGAUCAACUUCCUUGUUCUACUCUUUCCCCACAUCUCACUAUUACAUUUGACUAGUCUUUA